UACGGGAGGCAGCAGUGAGGAAUAUUGCACAAUGGGGGAAACCCUGAUGCAGCAACGCCGCGUGGAGGAUGACGCAUUUCGGUGUGUAAACUCCUUUUAUAUGUCAAGAAAAUGACGGUAGCAUAUGAAUAAGCACCGGCUAACUCCGUGCCAGCAGCCGCGGUAA
rnacentral:rRNA from 1 species